rnacentral:rRNA from 1 species
GACGAACGCUGGCGGCGUGCCUAAUACAUGCAAGUAGAACGCUGAAGAGAGGAGCUUGCUCUUCUUGGAUGAGUUGCGAACGGGUGAGUAACGCGUAGGUAACCUGCCUUGUAGCGGGGGAUAACUAUUGGAAACGAUAGCUAAUACCGCAUAACAAUGGAUGACACAUGUCAUUUAUUUGAAAGGGGCAAUUGCUCCACUACAAGAUGGACCUGCGUUGUAUUAGCUAGUAGGUGAGGUAAUGGCUCACCUAGGCGACGAUACAUAGCCGACCUGAGAGGGUGAUCGGCCACACUGGGACUGAGACACGGCCCAGACUCCUACGGGAGGCAGCAGUAGGGAAUCUUCGGCAAUGGGGGCAAUCCUGACCGAGCAACGCCGCGUGAGUGAAGAAGGUUUUCGGAUCGUAAAGCUCUGUUGUAAGUCAAGAACGGGUGUGAGAGUGGAAAGUUCACACUGUGACGGUAGCUUACCAGAAAGGGACGGCUAACUACGUGCCAGCAGCCGCGGUAAUACGUAGGUCCCGAGCGUUGUCCGGAUUUAUUGGGCGUAAAGCGAGCGCAGGCGGUUUGAUAAGUCUGAAGUUAAAGGCUGUGGCUCAACCAUAGUUCGCUUUGGAAACUGUCAAACUUGAGUGCAGAAGGGGAGAGUGGAAUUCCAUGUGUAGCGGUGAAAUGCGUAGAUAUAUGGAGGAACACCGGUGGCGAAAGCGGCUCUCUGGUCUGUAACUGACGCUGAGGCUCGAAAGCGUGGGGAGCGAACAGGAUUAGAUACCCUGGUAGUCCACGCCGUAAACGAUGAGUGCUAGGUGUUGGAUCCUUUCCGGGAUUCAGUGCCGCAGCUAACGCAUUAAGCACUCCGCCUGGGGAGUACGACCGCAAGGUUGAAACUCAAAGGAAUUGACGGGGGCCCGCACAAGCGGUGGAGCAUGUGGUUUAAUUCGAAGCAACGCGAAGAACCUUACCAGGUCUUGACAUCCCGAUGCUAUUUCUAGAGAUAGAAAGUUACUUCGGUACAUCGGUGACAGGUGGUGCAUGGUUGUCGUCAGCUCGUGUCGUGAGAUGUUGGGUUAAGUCCCGCAACGAGCGCAACCCCUAUUGUUAGUUGCCAUCAUUCAGUUGGGCACUCUAGCGAGACUGCCGGUAAUAAACCGGAGGAAGGUGGGGAUGACGUCAAAUCAUCAUGCCCCUUAUGACCUGGGCUACACACGUGCUACAAUGGUUGGUACAACGAGUUGCGAGUCGGUGACGGCGAGCUAAUCUCUUAAAGCCAAUCUCAGUUCGGAUUGUAGGCUGCAACUCGCCUACAUGAAGUCGGAAUCGCUAGUAAUCGCGGAUCAGCACGCCGCGGUGAAUACGUUCCCGGGCCUUGUACACACCGCCCGUCACACCACGAGAGUUUGUAACACCCGAAGUCGGUGAGGUAACCUUUUGGAGCCAGCCGCCUAAGGUGG